CAGGGGUACUCGAGUGGUGAACGGGUGAGUAACACGUGGGUGAUCUGCCUUGCACUCUGGGAUAAGCUUGGGAAACUGGGUCUAAUACCGGAUAGGAACCGUCUUUAGUGUGGUGGUUGGAAAGUUUUUUCGGUGCAAGAUGAGCUCGCGGCCUAUCAGCUUGUUGGUGGGGUAACGGCCUACCAAGGCGUCGACGGGUAGCCGGCCUGAGAGGGUGUACGGCCACAUUGGGACUGAGAUACGGCCCAG
rnacentral:rRNA from 1 species